rnacentral:rRNA from 1 species
UACGUAGGGGGCGAGCGUUGUCCGGAAUUAUUGGGCGUAAAGAGCGUGUAGGCUGUUCGGUAAGUCUGCCGUGAAAACCUGAGGCUCAACCUCGGGCGUGCGGUGGAUACUGCCGGGCUAGAGGACGGUAGAGGCGAGUGGAAUUCCCGGUGUAGCGGUGAAAUGCGUAGAUAUCUGGAGGAACACCGGUGGCGAAGGCGGCAUCCUGGACCAACACUGACGCUGAUGAGCGAAAGCCAGGGGAGCAAACGGG